rnacentral:rRNA from 1 species
AUUGAACGCUGGCGGCAGGCCUAACACAUGCAAGUCGAGCGGAGCGGCUGACGGGUGAGUAAUGCCUAGGAAUCUGCCUGGUAGUGGGGGAUAACGUCCGGAAACGGACGCUAAUACCGCAUACUAUCAGAUGAGCCUAGGUCGGAUUCGCCAGUUGGUGGGGUAAAGGCCUACCAAGGCGACGAUCCGUACCGGGUUUGAGAGGAUGAUCAGUCAAACUGGAACUGAGACACGGCCCAGACUCCUACGGGAGGCAGCAGUGGGGAAUAUUGGACAAGGGGGGAAAGCCUGAUCCAGCCAGGCGGCGUGUGUGAAGAAGGUCUUCGGAUUGUAAAGCACGUUAAGUUGGGAGGCGUUACCAACAGAAGAAGCACCGGCUAACUUCGUGCCAGCAGCCGCGGUAAUAC